rnacentral:rRNA from 1 species
CAGACUCCUACGGGAGGCAGCAGUGGGGGAUAUUGACACAAUGGGGGAAACCCUGAUGCAGCGACGCCGCGUGGAGGAAGAAGGUUUUCGGAUUGUAAACUCCUGUCGUUAGGGACGAUAAUGACGGUACCUAACAAGAAAGCACCGGCUAACUACGUGC